rnacentral:snRNA from 1 species
GUGCUCACUUUGACAGCACAUAUGCUAAAUUGGAACUAUACAGAAAAGAUUAGCAUGGCCCCUGUACAAGAAUGACACACAAAUUCCUGAAACAUUCCACAUUAAA